rnacentral:rRNA from 1 species
UACGUAGGGUGCGAGCGUUAAUCGGAUUUACUGGGCGUAAAGCGCGCGUAGGUGGCCAAUUAAGUCAAAUGUGAAAUCCCCGAGCUUAACUUGGGAAUUGCAUUCGAUACUGGUUGGCUAGAGUAUGGGAGAGGAUGGUAGAAUUCCAGGUGUAGCGGUGAAAUGCGUAGAGAUCUGGAGGAAUACCGAUGGCGAAGGCAGCCAUCUGGCCUAAUACUGACACUGAGGUGCGAAAGCAUGGGGAGCAAACAGG